rnacentral:snRNA from 1 species
GUGUUCACUUCAGCAGCACAUAGACUAAAAUUGGAAUGAUACAGAGAAGAUUAACAUGGCUCUUGCUCAAGGAUGACAUGCAAAUUCAUGACACAUUCCGUAUUUCU